GAUGAACGCUGGCGGCGUGCCUAAUACAUGCAAGUCGAGCGAACAGACGAGGAGUUUGUUCCUCUGACGUUAGCGGCGGACGGGUGAGUAACACGUGGAUAACCUACCUAUAUGACUGGGAUAACUUCGGGAAACCGGAGCUAAUACCGGAUAAUAUCUUGAACCGCAUGGUUCAAUAGUGAAAGAUGGUUUUGCUGUCACCUAUAGAUGGAUCCGCGCCGCAUUAGCUAGUUGGUAAGGUAACGGCUUACCAAGGCAACGAUGCGUAGCCGACCUGAGAGGGUGAGCGGCCACACUGGAACUGAGACACGGUCCAGACUCCUACGGGAGGCAGCAGUAGGGAAUCUUCCGCAAUGGGCGAAAGCCUGACGGAGCAACGCCGCGUGAGUGAUGAAGGUCUUCGGAUCGUAAAACUCUGUUAUUAGGGAAGAACAAAUGUGUAAGUAACUAUGCACGUCUUGACGGUACCUAAUCAGAAAGCCACGGCUAACUACGUG
rnacentral:rRNA from 1 species